GUGUGUGUGUGUGUGUGUGUGUGUGUGUUUGUGUGUGUGUAAACUAGCCCAUUGCACACACAUGCAAACACACACACACACAAUUUG